rnacentral:rRNA from 1 species
CACGUAGGGGCGAGCGUUGUCCGGAUUUAUUGGGCGUAAAGAGCUCGUAGGCGGUUUCGUAAGUCGGAUGUGAAACUCCAGCUCAACUUGGAGACGCCAUUCGAUACUGCGAUGACUUGAGUCCGGUAGGGGAGUGUGGAAUUCCUGGUGUAGCGGUGAAAUGCGCAGAUAUCAGGAGGAACACCGGCGGCGAAGGCGGCACUCUGGGCCGGUACUGACGCUGAGGAGCGAAAGCGUGGGUAGCAAACAGG